CCCCUCCCCGCCCUGCCCCGGCGCAGGCGCGGCGGCUCCAGCCAGCGCCGCGGUCCUGGCUCUGGCCAGACGUGGGGGAAGCCGGCUGCGGCUGUCCCUCCCAGGCCGCGGUUCCCUAGCUCCCCCGCCCCCGUCCCGGCACCACCGCAGGGCCCAAAGGGCUGAGGCAGCACCUGCUGGGACGGGAGUCCCGGCGGCGGCAGCUCCAAGUCCAUCAUGAUGAGCUGUGGACCGUGUGUUGGGGAUCCCCGACGGCGGCCCUGUUCCGGCUGCCGAGGCGCGGCGCGGACAGGGCGGCUCUGGUGGCGGCGGCGGCGGCGGCGGCUUCUCCGGGCUCCCCGGCACUCGCUCAGGUCGUCAAAGGCAAACGGAGAAGUCCCUUUAGGUCGGAGAGUGGUCAGUAUUGCCCACCCAGAGCUGGGAGAAAAACGGGAACCCCAAGAGAACCUCUUCCCACCAAAGCACAUUCACCACGCCACAGAUG
rnacentral:antisense_RNA from 1 species